GCACGGAGUUAGCCGGAGCUUAUUCGCCGGGUACCGUCAAACGACCAGAUUGUUCACCUGAUCGCAUUUCUUCCCCGGCAAAAGGGGUUUACAACCCAGGGGCCUUCAUCCCCCACGCGGCGUCGCUCGGUCAGGGUUUCCCCCAUUGCCGAAGCCUCUCGACUGCUGCCUCCCGUAGGAGUCUGGGCCGUAUCUCAGUCCCAGUGUGGCUGACCAUCCUCUCAGACCAGCUACCCAUCGUCGCCUUGGUGGUCUUUUACACCGCCAACUAGCUAAUGGGACGCGAAGCCAUCUUCAACCGGUAGCUUGCAAGCAGAGGCCACCUUUGACCUCAGAUCCAUGCAGAUCCGUGGUCUCAUGCGGUAUUAGCACCCCGUUGGGAGUGUUAUCCCCCUGUUGAAGGCAGGUUCUUCACGCGUUACUCACCCGUUCGCCACUCUACUCAGGGAUUGCUCCCCUUUCGCGUUCGACUUGCAUGCCUAAUCCACGCCGCCAGCGUUCGUU
rnacentral:rRNA from 1 species